GUCUCACAGCAGAACUUCAAUUAUCCAGGAUCCCGAACAUCCAUAAUAUAACAACAGUAAUAAUAAAUCCUGCAUUUGUCCUCAGCCUGGGAGAGCCACACUGGAUUUAGUGCAGCUCUGUGUUUAUGCAGGAGUUUGGAUGCGCUUUCUUACACAAGUAGAGCUUUUCGGUGUUUGUAACACCCUUGUACACCUCUUUCCAGGAAUUCCCUUCUGCGGUACAGGUCUGAAGUGCUUUGGUACUGUGUUGUUUCAAGAUCCUUUCACAAGGACUUCAUACACUUGUUAACAUUGCUGUCUGGCUCUUUGCUUUCCUGGUGCCACCCAGGCAGCUCUCAGGAGCCAUCCGGAGGUGCAUGGGUCCAUGCCCUUUCCAUACAGGGGAACCAACUGCACCACCAUCAGUGUGCCAGUUUUCUGUCUCUCAAAGGACUUGUCCUUGCAGCAUACAGUCUUAUGAGGUAGUUGCCAGCAAUGCCGUUACACAUCAGCAGGGCAGAUAUCUGUCCUUUCACUUGUAUCAUCUCCAUCACUGCUAUGAUUGCUCUAAGGAUCAGCGUGGUCUUGUUGAUCCACCUUGAGAGCUUUUUUUCCCCGUGGCCAGGAGGCAGCCCUUUAAGAUAUGCCUCUCAGGAAAACCACCUGAGCUCAUUUUCCACAGGUGCAUCUGGAAGUCAUUUUGUUCAUGGCAGCUUCAGCUCCCCCCUUUUCCAUGGUCCAGCCUGUCACCUGAGCACACACCCCUGCUGUCUUUCCCCUCUGUGCCAGGCUGUGAGCUGAGCCCAUAGCCCCUGGUUCAUUGCCAUUGGGGUCGAGGCUCAUGUUUGAGGUCACCCAGGUCCCCUCCCAGACAUGAUUUUCUCCACCUGCUGAGCCUGUUGCCUCUCUUCAAGCCAAACACUGGCUAUGCUGCACAAGUGAGCACAGUGGGUGACUGGAAAACACAUCUCACCUCAUCUCACUUCCCUGUUCUGCUGCGUUCCCUCUGGGUUUGUCUUCUUUGUACGUCUUGUGAGUAAACUGGUGCUUCUGCCUUGUAACUAAUUAAGUCCUUUGCAAAGCAUCACUCUUUCCUUCCCUUAAACCUCAACUCCCAGAGCUCAGCUGUGUGGAACAGUGCUGUUUUAGGGACUCCUUUCCAGACUUCUCCCUCGCAGCUCAUCUGGUAGCUGCCAUUUCUGGCGCAGCCCCUGGCUCAACAAGCACUUCAGCAGGUGCUUAACUUUAAUUCGUGCCCCACUUUAGUGCAAAGGCAACAUAAAGACAGCCAGGUGCCUACAUGCUUUGGUGGGGAUGCAUGGAGGAAUUCAGAAGCCUUGGAUAAAGUAGAAUCUACAUUAUGAGCUUGAUUCAAGCACUGUAAGGGCUGGAAAACUGCAAUAGAGCAUCAAGCAAAAUGUCAAGAUCAAGACCGUGACCCACUGGGAAGUGCUGUAAAAUAAAAAGCCACUAAGGCUGACCUCAGCCUUGGAAAUACUGAGUACUUUGACAAGUAUGAUGCUGGUAGAAAGCCAGACUGUAAAGCCCUGCAUGCAGCCGGUGAGUUGACUUGGGCACCUUGAAAGACAGAGCAUGUCACUGAGCUGCCACUAAGCCAAAUAGCUGAUAAAUUACUGAACUCUUUUCUAGAUGCACAUAAUUAUUGUGUAUUUUCUCAACAUGAGUUUUUAUGAGGGGACUUUUUAAAUGUUCAUUUUAUGAUUUUUUUACCCUUUAAAAAGAAAUGAAUCACUUUUUGUUACAUGUGAGUAGGGCUGGGGGGGACAUUGUGGAUAAUGCAGUUUUUGUAAUAUUAUUAAAUACAUUUUCAAAACUAAGAUGUGACAAGUCCAAACUUCUACUGCAACAGCAGUAUCAUGUUUCACGCUGCUCUGCUUGCUACCGUGAUACUUCAGUGUAUUCAAAUCCAGCAGUCAGAACCCUUGAAACACACAAAAGCUGGGAAUCAGGUUAUAUCACCUUAGCUUUGAGGGGCGUGCUUUAUACAUACAUACCACAUGUAUCCUGGUGUUUGUUUAGCCCCAGCACUCUUACCCUACAUGCGUAUUGAUGUAUCUAUAAUUAAGUACAUGCUUAUAUAUAUAUAUGUGAUUAUUUGUAUAUAUACUACAAAAACACAGCUAUGUUGUUGUCAAAUACUGAGUAAAUCUAACAGAAAAGAGUUUAUAGGAACCCAGUUUUGUUUGUUCAUUUAAAUAUUUUAAAAUAGGGGCUGUCCUUGGGAAAUUAUUUUUCUGUACAUAGGAGGAUAUAUUUAGGACCUAAUUUAAGAGAAUAAAGAACUGCAGUAAGAAUAUGUUAAACUA